AAAUUGAAGAGUUUGAUCAUGGCUCAGAUUGAACGCUGGCGGCAGGCCUAACACAUGCAAGUCGAACGGUAACAGGAAGCAGCUUGCUGCUUUGCUGACGAGUGGCGGACGGGUGAGUAAUGUCUGGGAAACUGCCUGAUGGAGGGGGAUAACUACUGGAAACGGUGGCUAAUACCGCAUAACGUCGCAAGACCAAAGAGGGGGACCUUCGGGCCUCUUGCCAUCAGAUGUGCCCAGAUGGGAUUAGCUGGUUGGUGAGGUAACGGCUCACCAAGGCGACGAUCCCUAGCUGGUCUGAGAGGAUGACCAGCCACACUGGAACUGAGACACGGUCCAGACUCCUACGGGAGGCAGCAGUGGGGAAUAUUGCACAAUGGGCGCAAGCCUGAUGCAGCCAUGCCGCGUGUAUGAAGAAGGCCUUCGGGUUGUAAAGUACUUUCAGCGGGGAGGAAGGUGUUGUGGUUAAUAAC
rnacentral:rRNA from 2 species